AUGGACCCCAACCCGGGUGAUCUAAUCAUGGCCAGGUUGAAGCUUGAGUAACACCACAUGGAGGACCGAACCGACCCAUGUUGAAAAAUCGGCGGAUGAGCUGUGAUUAGCGGAGAAAUUCCAAUCGAACUCGGAGCUAGCUGGAUCUCUCCGAAAUGCGUUGAGGCGCAGCGGUGACUAUGAGCUAUCUAGAGGUAAAGCUACUGUUUCGAUGCGGGCUGCGAAAGCGGUACCAAGUCGUGGCAAACUCAGAAUACUAGAUAUUGCCUUCAGUCAACCAGUGAGGCUAGUCGGGAUAAGCUGACUAGCCAAGAGGGAAACAGCCCAGAGCACCAGAUAAGGCCCCUAAAUGAUAUCUAAGUGGAGAAGGAUGUGAUAUUGCUGAAACAACCAGGAGGUUCGCUUAGAAGCAGCUACCCUUGAAAGAGUGCGUAAUAGCUCACUGGUAAAGCGAUGUUGCGCCGAAAAUGGCCGGGACUUAAGAUAUCUGCCGAAGCUGUGCUAUUUGAAAUUUUCAAAUAGGUAGGAGAGCGUUCUGUUUUGGGUGAAGUUCUCACGGAAGUGGGGGUGGACAAAACAGAAGUGAGAAUGUCAGCUUGAGUAACGAAAACAUUGGUGAGAAUCCAAUGCCCCGAAAACCUAAGGGUUUCUGUCAUACGCUCGUCGAGGCAGAGUUAGUCAGGACCUAAGGCUAGUUAGAUUUAUCUAAGUCGUCGAUGGAAAACAGGUUAAUAUUCCUGUACUGAUUUUAUUGGGAACCGAGGGACGGAGAAGACUAAACUGAAACUGCUUAUGGAUUUCAGUGGAAACAUUUAGGUGUUGAGAGCUAGAAUAAAAACUAUGCUUGAGCUGAGAUGUGAUCCCUCUAUCUGCUUCAUGCAGAUGGAGUCAGUGAUGUCAUACUUCCAAGAAAAGCUCGAACACUAUUAACAAUAAAAUUACCUGUACCUGAAACCGACACAGGUAGGUUGGUAGAGAAUACCAAGGGGCGCGAGAGAACUCUCUCUAAGGAACUCGGCAAAUUGGCCCCGUAACUUCGGAAGAAGGGGCGCCCUCUAUUAUUGUAAAAAAUGAUAGAGGGUCGCAGAGACCAAAUCCUGGUAACUGUUUAUCAAAAACACAGGUUUCCGCAAAGUCGUAAGACGAUAUAUGGGAGCUGACGCCUGCCCAGUGCUGGAAGGUUAAGGAAGUUGGUUAUUAAGUAAUUAAGAAGCUGACGACCGAAGCCCCAGUGAACGGCGGCCGUAACUAUAACGGUCCUAAGGUAGCGAAAUUCAUUGCCAAGUAAGUUUUGGCCCGCACGAAUGGCGUAAUAAUCAGGGUACUGUCUCGGAGAGAGACUCGGUGAAAUAGACUUGUCCGUGAAGAUGCGGACUACCUAAACCUGGACAGAAAGACCCUAUGAAGCUUGACUGUAUCCUGGAAUUGGGUUCGGGCUUUUCUUGCGCAGCCUAGGUGGGAGGCUAUGAGGGUUCCCUUCCGGGGGGAUCUGAGCCAUCAUUGAGAGACCACUCUGGGAAGGCUAGAAUCCUAAUGAUGAUCUCUGAAUCGAGACAUUUGACAGUUUCAGGUGGGCAGUUUGUCUGGGGCGGACGCCUCCUAAAGCGUAACGGAGGUGUGCAAAGGUUCUCUCAGUCUGGACGGAAAUCAGACAUUGAGUGCAAAGGCAAAAGAGAGCUUGACUGCAAGACCAACAAGUCGAGCAGGGGCGAAAGCCGGCCUUAGUGAUCCGACGGUGCCGUGUGGAAGGGCCGUCGCUCAACGGAUAAAAGUUACUCUAGGGAUAACAGGCUGAUCUUCCCCAAGAGUUCACAUCGACGGGAAGGUUUGGCACCUCGAUGUCGGCUCAUCACAUCCUGGAGCGGCAGUACGUUCCAAGGGUUGGGCUGUUCGCCCAUUAAAGUGGUACGUGAGCUGGGUUCAGAACGUCGUGAGACAGUUUGGUCCAUAUCCGGUUUAGGCGCAAGAGCAUUGAGAGGAGCCUUCAAAAGUACGAGAGGACCUUGAAAGGUAAGCCAAUAGUGUAUCGGUUAUUCUUCCAAGAGUAAACGCCGAGUAGCCAUGCUUAUAGGGAUAACUGCUGAAAGCAUCUAAGUAGGAAACCCACCUCAAGAUGAGUGCUCUCCAUUAGAUCGCGGCAAGACAAGCCGUUUAAUAGGCAUUAGGUGUACAAUCAGUAAUGGUUUUAGCCGAGAUGUACUAAAGAUCAAUUGAUU
rnacentral:rRNA from 14 species